rnacentral:ncRNA from 2 species
UACGGAGGGUGCAAGCGUUAUCCGGAUUCACUGGGUUUAAAGGGUGUGUAGGCGGACUGUUAAGUCAGUGGUGAAAUCUCCGGGCUCAACCCGGAAACUGCCGUUGAUACUAUCAGUCUUGAAUUCUGUUGAGGUGGGCGGAAUACAUCAUGUAGCGGUGAAAUGCUUAGAUAUGAUGUAGAACACCGAUUGCGAAGGCAGCUCACUAAGCAGCGAUUGACGCUGAGGCACGAAAGCGUGGGGAUCAAACAGG